rnacentral:rRNA from 1 species
UACAGAGACUGCAAGCGUUAUUCGGAUUCACUGGGCGUAAAGGGUGCGCAGGCGGCCAAGUGUGUUAGGCGUGAAAGCCCGGGGCUUAACCUCGGAAUUGCACCUAAAACUACAUGGCUAGAGCAUUGGAGAGGGUAGCGGAAUUCACGGUGUAGCAGUGAAAUGCGUAGAUAUCGGGAGGAACACCAGAGGCGAAGGCGGCUACCUGGACAAUUGCUGACGCUCAGGCGCGAAAGCGUGGGGAGCAAAAGGG